CUCAUAUUGAAACCUAGUGAUGUAUGAGUUAGUGGCGGACGGGUGAGUAACGCGUGGAGAACCUGCCGUAUACUGGGGGAUAACACUUAGAAAUAGGUGCUAAUACCGCAUAAGCGCACAGCUUCGCAUGAAGCAGUGUGAAAAACUCCGGUGGUAUACGAUGGAUCCGCGUCUGAUUAGCUUGUUGGCGGGGUAAAGGCCCACCAAGGCGACGAUCAGUAGCCGGCCUGAGAGGGUGAACGGCCACAUUGGGACUGAGACACGGCCCAAACUCCUACGGGAGGCAGCAGUGGGGAAUAUUGCACAAUGGGGGAAACCCUGAUGCAGCGACGCCGCGUGAGCGAAGAAGUAUUUCGGUACGUAAAGCUCUAUCAGCAGGGAAGAAAAUGACGGUACCUGACUAAGAAGCCCCGGCUAACUACGUGCCAGCAGCCGCGGUAAUACGUAGGGGGCAAGCGUUAUCCGGAUUUACUGGGUGUAAAGGGAGCGUAGACGGCAGCGCAAGUCUGGAGUGAAAUCCCAUGGCUUAACCAUGGAACUGCUUUGGAAACUGUGCAGCUGGAGUGCAGGAGAGGUAAGCGGAAUUCCUAGUGUAGCGGUGAAAUGCGUAGAUAUUAGGAGGAACACCAGUGGCGAAGGCGGCUUACUGGACUGUAACCGACGUUGAGGCUCGAAAGCGUGGGGAGCAAACAGGAUUAGAUACCCUGGUAGUCCACGCUGUAAACGAUGAUUACUAGGUGUUGGGGGACCAAGGUCCUUCGGUGCCGUCGCAAACGCAUUAAGUAAUCCACCUGGGGAGUACGUUCGCAAGAA
rnacentral:rRNA from 1 species